rnacentral:rRNA from 1 species
GACGUAGGGCGCGAGCGUUGUCCGGAUUUAUUGGGCGUAAAGAGCUCGUAGGCGGCUUGUUGCGUCGACUGUGAAAACCCGCGGCUUAACUGCGGGCUUGCAGUUGAUACGGGCAGGCUAGAGUUCGGUAGGGGAGACUGGAAUUCCAGGUGUAGCGGUGAAAUGCGUAGAUAUCUGGAGGAACACCGGUGGCGAAGGCGGCAUCCUGGACCGAGAUUGACGCUGAGGCGCGAAAGCCAGGGGAGCAAACAGG